rnacentral:rRNA from 1 species
CCUACGGGAGGCAGCAGUGAGGAAUAUUGGUCAAUGGGCGCGAGCCUGAACCAGCCAAGUCGCGUGAGGGAAGACGGUCCUAUGGAUUGUAAACCUCUUUUGUCGGGGAGCAAAAGACGCCACGCGUGGCGUUCCGAGAGUACCCGAAGAAAAAGCAUCGGCUAACUCCUUGCCAGCAGCCGCGGUAAUACGGAGGAUGCGAACGUUAUCCGGAUUUAUUGGGUUUAAAGGGUGCGCAGGCGGAAGAUCAAGUCAGCGGUAAAAUUGAGAGGCUCAACCUCUUCGAGCCGUUGAAACUGGUUUUCGUGAGUGAGUGAGAAGUAGGCGGAAUGCGUGGUGUAGCGGUGAAAUGCAUAGAGAUCACGCAGAACUCCGAUUGCGAAGGCAGCAUACCGGCGCUCAACUGACGCUCAUGCACGAAAGUGUGGGUAUCGAACAGGAUUAGAUACCCGGGUAGUC